AGUGGAAUAGCUGGGUCAAAAGUGAUUCGAUUCCCAGUUUUCCAAGGAAUCUCUAUACUGCUUUCCAUAUUGGCUGCACCAUUUUGCAGCCCCACCAGCAAU
rnacentral:pre_miRNA from 1 species